GACGAACGCUGGCGGCGUGCUUAACACAUGCCAGUCGAACGGAAAGGCCCUGCUUUUGUGGGGUGCUCGAGUGGCGAACGGGUGAGUAACACGUGAGUAACCUGCCCUUGACUUUGGGAUAACUUCAGGAAACUGGGGCUAAUACCGGAUAGGAGCUCCUGCUGCAUGGUGGGGGUUGGAAAGUUUCGGCGGUUGGGGAUGGACUCGCGGCUUAUCAGCUUGUUGGUGGGGUAGUGGCUUACCAAGGCUUUGACGGGUAGCCGGCCUGAGAGGGUGACCGGCCACAUUGGGACUGAGAUACGGCCCAGACUCCUACGGGAGGCAGCAGUGGGGAAUAUUGCACAAUGGGCGGAAGCCUGAUGCAGCAACGCCGCGUGCGGGAUGACGGCCUUCGGGUGGUAAACCGCAUUCGCCUGUGACGAAGCGUGAGUGACGGUAAUGGGUAAAGAAGCACCGGCUAACUACGU
rnacentral:rRNA from 1 species